rnacentral:rRNA from 1 species
CCUACGGGUGGCAGCAGUGGGGAAUAUUGCACAAUGGGGGAAACCCUGAUGCAGCGACGCCGCGUGAGCGAUGAAGUAUUUCGGUAUGUAAAGCUCUAUCAGCAGGGAAGAAAAUGACUGUACCUGACUAAGAAGCCCCGGCUAACUACGUGCCAGCAGCCGCGGUAAUACGUAGGGGGCAAGCGUUAUCCGGUUUUAAUGGGCGUAAAGGGAGCGUAGACGGCUUGGCAAGCCAGAUGUGAAAGGCCGGGGCUCAACCCCAGGACUUCAUUUGGAACUGGCAUGCUAGAGUGUCGGAGAGGCAAGGGGAAUUCCUAGGGUAGCGGUGAAAUGCGCAGAUAUUUGGAGGAACACCAGGGGCGAAGGCGGCCUUGUGGACGGUGACUGACGUUGAGGCUCGAAAGCGUGGGGAGCAAACAGGAUUAGAUACCCUGGUAGUC